rnacentral:tRNA from 1 species
GGAGUAUAGCUCAGUGGUAGAGUGCGUGCUUAGCAUGCACAAGGUCCUGGGUUCAGUUGCCAGUACCUCCA